GACGAACGCUGGCGGCGUGCCUAAUACAUGCAAGUCGAACGCAUUUUCUUUCACCGUAGCUUGCUACACCGAAAGAAAAUGAGUGGCGAACGGGUGAGUAACACGUGGGUAACCUGCCCAUCAGCGGGGGAUAACACUUGGAAACAGGUGCUAAUACCGCAUAAUUCCAUUUACCGCAUGGUAAAUGGAUGAAAGGCGCUUUUGCGUCACUGAUGGAUGGACCCGCGGUGCAUUAGCUAGUUGGUGGGGUAACGGCCUACCAAGGCUGCGAUGCAUAGCCGACCUGAGAGGGUGAUCGGCCACACUGGGACUGAGACACGGCCCAGACUCCUACGGGAGGCAGCAGUAGGGAAUCUUCGGCAAUGGACGCAAGUCUGACCGAGCAACGCCGCGUGAGUGAAGAAGGUUUUCGGAUCGUAAAACUCUGUUGUUAGAGAAGAACAAGGAUGGGAGUGGAAAGUUCAUCCCUUGACGGUAUCUAACCAGAAAGCCACGGCUAACUACGUG
rnacentral:rRNA from 1 species